UACGUAGGGUGCGAGCGUUGUCCGGAAUUACUGGGCGUAAAGAGCUCGUAGGUGGUUUGUCGCGUUGUUCGUGAAAACCGGGGGCUUAACCCUCGGCGUGCGGGCGAUACGGGCAGACUUGAGUACUGCAGGGGAGACUGGAAUUCCUGGUGUAGCGGUGGAAUGCGCAGAUAUCAGGAGGAACACCGGUGGCGAAGGCGGGUCUCUGGGCCGAUACUGACGCUGAGGAGCGAAAGCGUGGGGAGCAAACAGG
rnacentral:rRNA from 1 species